UAUCUUUUUUUCUAGGACUGAUACCUGUCACUUGUCCUAAUUCAAUUCUUUGAACUACAAAAAUUUCAGUUUGUGAGGACGUGGAUCUUGUAGGUGUUUUUUCUGGAUGGUCCACUGGAAGUGUUUGGAGAGAGUAGAAUGAGUUGCUGGCCACAAAUGGAAUAUUACAGUUAGAAGUUUUCCAGAUGUGUGGGACAGUUACAUGAGGAGCUACUGGAGACAACGAUGCGGUGCAAUAAGCAGAGGUGCUCCCAGGACUCAGCUACUCUGAAACAGUAUUCCUCUGUGCUUUUGUCUGAACCUACCUGGGACAGAUCCAACUGAAUCUGGCACUAGGAACCUGUGAUCAGCAAGAGAGAUGGAUGCUUUCUGAAUAGAGAGAAAUCUACAGAAAUGAGUCUCUUUGGCAAGGCCCCCUCCAGCAAGAGUCUGAUCUCCAAUUUGAGACAAAGCUCAAGAUAUUUGUCUUCAAAAUCACAGAGCCCAGGGAAAUCCAGGUGUCCUGCCGGCCACUACGUGAUGAGGUGCGACUCGGAUGCAUGGAAGUGAAACCUCAGGCCUUGGAAGAGCCUGGCAGACUUUGAUUUAUAUAUCCAAAGGAUUAACGGGCUGGCCUAACUGCCCACUAGCCCAUCUAACUGCUUACACUAUCAUGGAUCUUCAGAAAAGAUUGUUUCCCGCCACAUCCUGAGAAGCUGAGAGGCAAAGUGGACAGUGAGAGAGAGAGAGACUGAGAGAAAGGACUUCCUUUUUGCCGUUGGUUCACCCUCCAAUGACCGCCACGGCUGGCGCACCACGCUGAUCCGAUGGCAGGAGCCAGGUACUUCUCCUGGUCUCCCAUGUGGGUGCAGGGCCCAAGCACUUGGGCCAUCCUCCACUGCACUCCCUGGCCACAGCAGAGAGCUGGCCUGGAAGAGGGACAACCGGGACAGAAUCCGGCGCCCUGACCGGGACUAGAACCCGGUGUGCCGGCGCCGUUAGGUGGAGGAUUAGCCUAUUGAGCCGCGGCGCCAGCCCUAACUCUUGAAUUUAACAUUGGACUCACAAGUAUACAUGAUAUUACUUUAAAAAUGAAAUGAGAGGACUGUGAUUGGAUGAUACAUUGUGAUACAAGAAUAAUGAUUAAAUAAUUGUGUCUACUUAAGGUACAGUUAAAAAUCAUUUACAAAAAUAUCACAGUGAUAUUAGCUUUUGCUAAAUAUAGUAUGAGCCAUGUUUUUUCUUGUUAUGUCUGUGACCUUGUUGAUUAGUCUCUAAUGGUAUAUCUAUUGCUAUGUAGCAAAUUACCACUCUCCUAAGUUUUAUGGCUUUAAACAAUAAGCAUUUAUUAUAUUAUAGCUUCUGUGGGUGAAGACUUUGGGGUGGUUCAGCUGGGUGAGUCUUGCUCAAGAGAUUGCAGUCAGAAUGUUGGCAGGGGCAGCAGUCAUCUGAAGUCUUGACUGGAGCUGAGACUCACUCUCAUGAUGGCAGACGCCCAAGGCUGGGUGCAGGGAACUUCAGUGCCUCACCAUGUGGGUCUCCUCCUAGGCUUAUUUGGUUGUCCUCACAAUAUGGCAACUAGCUUCUCCCAGACUGAUCCAAGCAGAAAAGCAAGGAGGAGGACAUCAUGUCUUCUACAACUUAAUUUCAGAAGUCACAUAGUACCAUUUCUGCUAUAUUCUACUCAUUAGAAGUGAGUCACUAAUUUCAAUCAAGGGAAAAAGGGCUAGCAUGGGUGUUUGGCCCAGAAGUUAAGAUGUUGCUUGGAAUUUCCCAGUCCCAUAUUGAUGUACCUGGAUUUGAUUCUUGAUUCCAGCUCCUGACUUCAUCCUGUGCUAAUGCACAUCCUAGGAGGCAGCCAGUGAUUGUUCAAGUAAUUGGGUCCCUGCCACCCAUGCAGGAGACCUAGAUACCUGGAUUGAGUUAGAGUCUCCUGGCUUUGGCCUGCCCAGUCUUAGCUAUUGCAAACAUUUAUGGAGUGAACCAGCAGAUGGAAGAUCUCUUUGGGUCUGUCUUUUGCAUCUCUUUUUUUUUUAUUCUACUUUUUUAAACAUUUUUUGACAGGUAGAGUUAUAGACAGAGAGAGAGACAGAGAGAAAGGUCUUCCUUCCAUUGGUUCACCCCCCAAAUGGCUGCUACAGCUGGAGUUGUGCUGAUCCAAAGCCAGGAGCCAGGUGCUUCCUCCUCAUCUCCCAUGCAGGUGCAGUGGCCCAAGUGCUUGGGCCAUCCUCCACUACCUUCCCGGGCCACAGCAGAGAGCUGGACUGGAAGAGGAGCAGCCAGGACUAGAACCCGGCAUCCAUAUGGGAUGCCAGUGCCACAGGCGGAGGAUUAGCCAAGUGAGCCACAACGCCGGCCCUCCCUGUCUUUUCAACAUGUGUAGUGGAUUGCCUCCCAAUUACAAUUCACAUCACCUUCCCUUACCCUCCUUUUGAAUGCCCACAUGCUGUCAUAUAAUUUUUGUUAUUUUAAUAACACAUUCUCAAUAUACAUGGUAUAUCCACAUUCUCAAUAUACUAGAAUCUACAUAGUAUGUCCUAAGUGCCUGACUGCAUAGAAUUCUGGAGUUGGAACAAAAAAACACACUAGAGUUCCUGUAACUCAGCCCACUACCUUUUCUACAUCAUCUUUUAGAGCAUUGCUCAGAGCUGUCCAUUUAGGAUCUAGCUGCAUAAUUCUACUCAAAAAAGGUCACUAUCCUGCUACCAUGUUAAGAUACUUAGCAAAAAUUCUUGAUUACAGGAUUAAUCUUAAUUACAGAAACCCAUAUACUAAAGAAAGCAAGCUACGGGCGCCGGUUCUAGUCCUGGUUGCUUCUCUUCCAGUCCAGCUCUCUGCUGUAGCCUGGGAAAGUGGUGAAGGAUGGCCCGAGUGCUUGGGCCCCUGCACCCACAUGGGAGACCUGGCUCCUGGCUUUGGAUCGGCACAGCUCCGGCCGUUGCGGCCAUUUGGGGAGUGAACCAAUGGAAGGAAGAUCUUCCUCUCUGUCUCUCUCUCACACUGUCUGUAACUCUACCUGUCAAAUUAAAAAAAAAAAAAAAAGCAAGCUAAUGAGACACAUUAGCAUAUCAGGGAAGUCACAUGAUGUGACAACUUUCACAUAGGAAAUCUUUACUCUUCUGUUUUUAUUUUUUCUUUUAUUGUUUUAAGAUUUAUUUUAUUUAUUGAAAGGCAGAGUUACAGAGAGAGAGGUAGAGAUCUUCCAUCCUCUGGUUCAUUCCCCACAUGGCCGUAAUGGCUGGAGCCAGAGCUGGAUUCAAAGUGAAACAGCCAGGACUCUAACCAUAUAGGAUGCUGGCACUGCAGGCAAUGGCUCAACCCCCUACACCACUGGCCCCUGCUGUUACCCUUUUAAGAACAUCUCUGAUGCCUUGACAAGUACUUUUGGCAGGAAAUCAUCCUGUAACACGGACUCUUCCUCUUAUCUUCCCCAACUGAGUUUUGGGGUGAUGCUGUCCUCUAUCAUUGGUCUGGAUUUUUCUUCUCCUAAAGACAGAGAAAAUGGUAAAAGAGUCUCAUUACUGGAUACUGGCCCUGAUUCUGCAGCCUAUGAGUAAAUGAGUUAGUACUGUUUACCUAGGAGGUUUGUAAUGAUUAUUUCCUGCUUUAAAUUCAAUCCUGAUUUUCCUGCAAAUGCAGCAUUCAGAGGAAAAGAAAGAACUCAGCUGUCUGUACAAACAUAUGGAAAUCAAUGAUAAAUGGACAGAGACUGCACAGUAUAUUUAUUAACCAAGCUCAUAUAAAUCAUAAUUUUUCAACCAUUUAUUAAACUAAUAGGAUUGUUUGGGAACAUCAAAGGAUUCUUUAUUAAGUAAAUAAUCAUGUUUAUCCACUCAGUUAUGGGGAAAAGCAAAUCAUUCACACUGCAUUUACUCUGCCUCAUCUGAUUUCAUUUCUCUUAAAUGUCAGCCGUUGAUAAUUUUUACCAAACAACCUGGAAAAAAGUCCAAAUUUCUACUAGAUUUCAGCCAGCUCUCCAGUUCAGGAAAAGGACUACUGCUUGCUUCUCAGAUUUUCAUUUCUUUUUUCCCCAAUUGGGUAAAUUUUCUAUGAGGCUUAAAUGACUGUUCCAUGGCAAACACACAUUUAGAUAGUUGGCCAUCUAGACCAAAUCAUCCUUUCUUCAUUCAUUCUGUGUCAUUCUAUUUGUUAUCUGGCUACCCAGGCACAUCGCAGUGACCCGCUUUGUUAAUUAAGCAUGAGCCAGAUACCUUCAGCACCUGGGACAAGUCCCUCUGUCCAUUCUUGUUCACUGGUAUUGGCUCAGAGAACCCUGACUUUCCCCAGUGUGAAUCGGAAUAAAAUGUAAUUAGGAAGUGAAGUCUACUGCCUAAUUGGAAGGACAUCCUCAAACAUUUGUUUUUGUUUUAUUGGUGAUUUCAGUGUUUUGAUUGGUGAUUUCAGUGUUGUCCUGAAAAAAUAUUCUUAUAAAUCAGAAUCUUAUAGAUAAAAAUGUCUUUUAUCCAUAUUUAACAUGCACUGGGGAUGCUCUACUCCUUACUAAAUAGAUAUUGAUCCCUCUAAGGCCAGUCAUUGGGCACAGUGAGAAAUAUGAAUGUUUAUAGAGUUAUUCACUAAAUAAUUAUUCCUGGCUCAAAGCUAGACCCUGUUUGUUACACUGGAGAUAUAGAAAUAAACAAAAAACAAGAAUCCCGAGGAAGCUGCAGUUCUAGGGAAAAGAUUAAACAAGUAAAUAGCAAAUAAAAUGUUCAAGUAGCAGCCAAUGUGAUCAAGCAAGUUAAAAUUUGACAGAAUAAUCUGAGAAUGAGUGAUAGCAUCAUAUAAGGUAGGCUCAGGCCCUGAAAGUUAAUAUUAGGAAUGCAACUUAAUUUGGAAGGGGAGAACAGUCAAUGAAGGUAUAUGGAAGGUGAUAAUUGAUUUACCUUUAAUGAGAAGCAGAAUAAGGCAUAUUCCUUUCCCUGGAAGAAUUUACAUUCAAGAAAGUUUCUAAGACUGCAUUCAAUUUGUUAUCUAAUCUUAAAUAUGUAUCUAUGAGCUUUGUGUUAAAAAUAGUAUAAUUCAGACAACUCAGUAAUUAAAUAUGAGUCCAUACUGAUGAAAAUAAAUAAAGUAAUACAUAAAUAAAAUUGGGGAAAUGGGCAAAUCUUCCUUUGGAAGAAUUACUUGGAGUAUGUGCAGAUACUCUCACCUCAGAGCCUAAUGUUCCCUUACUUGAGGCCGUUCUGGACCUAGAGCCUUGAUUUCAGAGAAGAGAGUAUGGAAAGGUCAAGCCAGAAACUUUGGAAAAUCUGACAAAUACCACCUUACCUAAGUGAUAAAGCUUAACAUCAUCAAGGCAAAGUCAUGCUAAUACCAUAUAACAUCUGAUAUGAUACAUUAAAAAAGAAUUCAGUUCUAUGUUAUACAUCUCCAAAGCCUACAACCCUGGUCCAAUCCUGAGAAAACACCAGAAAAAUGCUUUAAAUACAUUCUAUGAAAUUCCUGAUCAAUGCAUUUCAAAACUGUCAACGUCAUGAAAGAUCACCAUGGAUUGGUGGUAACUGAGGAGCUGUGAUAACUAAAUUUACUGUAGAAUCCCAGAUUGAAUACUGGAACAGGGAAAGAAUCUUAGGGGAGAAACUGUUGAAAACCAAAUAAAAUCUGUAAUGUAGUCUGAUAGUGUACCAAUGUUAAUGUCUUAGUUUUGACAAAUGAUCAUGGUUAUGCAAGACAUCAUUAGGAGAAGGAGGGUAAGGGUAUGUGGGGAUCCUCUGUAGUCUCCUGCAAUUAUUCUAUAAAUCUAUCUUCAUCCAAAUUAAAGAGAUUUGAAAAAUGCUCA